rnacentral:rRNA from 1 species
UACAGAGGUGCCAAGCGUUGUUCGGAUUUAUUGGGCGUAAAGCGCGUGUAGGCGGUCCGGUAAGUCCGCUGUGAAAGUCGGGGGCUCAACCCUCGAAUGCCGGUGGAUACUGUCGGGCUAGAGUGCGGAAGAGGCGAGUGGAAUUCCUGGUGUAGCGGUGAAAUGCGCAGAUAUCAGGAGGAACACCAAUUGCGAAGGCAGCUCGCUGGGACGUUACUGACGCUGAGACGCGAAAGCGUGGGGAGCAAACAGG